rnacentral:lncRNA from 1 species
AAGAAUGCAUAAAUUGAUAAAUGGAGUGACGAAAGAAGAUAGAUUAAGGAAUAAGUACAUAAGAGGUAGCUUAGGUGUGGCUUCUAUAGUAGACAAAAUGAGAGAAAAUAAACUCAAAUAGUCUUGGUAUGUCAUGAGAAGAGAGGAAACGGAAGCUGUAAGAAUUAUGAUGAAAAUAAAAGUUGAUGGAAAGGAGAGGAGAGAAAGACCAAAAACGAUGUAGUUGGAAUGAUGUGUGAAUGGCAUGUGUAUGCAAGGAUGACAUGUGGGAUCGAGUCAAGUGGAAAUAUUGGACAAUGGUGACAGACCCUAAAUAGUUGGAAUAAAGGCGAAGUAGAAAAAGAAGUAAUAAUUUAUAAUUAUUAUGCUCCUAUAUUAUAUCUUUGUAAUAGAAAUCUAUCGAUUCAACAUGAUAUAUUAACUGCAUCAUCUGGGGUUACUACUCUUUCAACUGAAUCUUCAAAGUACAACAGGUGAUAAUAACUACUUUUUUAUAAAACAAUUGUUAUAAAUCAUGGUUUUUCUACCUUAUAGAGUGUCCGUUAUAAGAAGGUGGUUUUAAUGUAUAUUAUGGCAGCUCUUAAAUGGAUCAUGGUUGAACUUUUAUGAAUGCACCCCCUAAGAUAGNAAUUUGAAAAUAUCAAAACCAAUAAUGCUGUAAGCUUUUCCCAUAUUUUCUACAUUUUUUCCCAAUUGUAAUGAAAACUGUUUAGAAAAUUAAAAAAUACCUCCUCUAUGUACUAACUACAUUUAACUAAUUUUGGAUCAAAAUAAAACAAAAAGAAAUUUCUUUUAAUUUUUUGAUUGGAACAAGAUUUCUAAUAGUUGCUGAUAGUCGCAGAAAAAAAAAAAUUUAAAAGAAAAUAUACAUGUAUAAAACCAAUAUGGUCUUCACUCUGCUCAGAAUCUAAAAGUAUGUAGUUAUUUUCUAAUUUUCAGUAGGGAAGUAACCUUAUAAAAUUAUCAAAAUAAAAUGUAAAUACAUUUUUAAAUUGCUUUUAUAUUUUUAUUUAUAAUAAAUAACUAACUGUUUAAUAAAUAUUUGAGAUGAAGGUGAAGGAGAAGAAGAGAACGUUAGUUUAAUGAGUUAGCGUAUUUGAGAAACUUGCUUAGCUUUGCUAUCUAUCCUGUUUUCAAGCUCACCAUCAAAAUAUAAUUAUUUUAAUAAAAUAAAUUUUGAAAUUGAAUAUUAACGUGUAUGAUGGAGAGUCCAAAAAAAAAAAAAAAGGUACAAAUGAAAUAUGAAUUCUUUUUUUUAUACCCACACAUUUUACUCGAGAUGGUAUGUAUUUUAUUGAAGUACACUUAAAUAUUUAAAUAUUUGGACCCGACAGCUGACAUACGCUAGUCAAUCUGUUCAAGAAUUCAUUGAGAUUAUAAUAUUUGUUGUUUCGGAUUUGAAGCGUAGCGAGGAAUCUAUCGGUUUUAUUAUGGUGUAUUACUUUUUGACCAGAAAUCUUGCUCCAAUUGAAAAAUGACAAGAUCCUUUUUUUGAAUUUCGUAUUUUGUUGGUGCAUUUUUUAAUUUUCCAAUCAGUUUUCAUAAUAAUUAAGAAAACCCAAAAACUAUGUAAAAUGUAAACUCACAAAUGUAUUAAAUGAUUAGUACAUUAAUCGUAGUUUGUGGCAGAGAAAAUGAGUUAUAAAAUUACUCUAUUUUAUAAUUUUAAUUUAGUUUACAAUGAUUUUAUAAAUAAUAAUGUUACUUGUUAAGUAUAUAACUAAAAUAUUAUUACAAUAUUCUGUAAUAUAAAAUAAUAAAAAUUGAUAUUGUUGGAGUUAAUGUUAAAAUAGUUUAAACAAAUUUAAAAUAGGAAAAUCAUAAGAAAACUGGGAAAAUUGGUACAACAUUUAAUACAUUUUACUUAAGAAAAUAUAUAAAGCCUAUUUAAUUAUUUUACUAUAAAAUGACAUAUAUAUUGUUGACAAUGCAUUACUAUUAACUUAACUCCGCUCAGAAUCGUUUUUUUUGGAAGCAAUAAAACGUGGUGUAAUAAAGUGAAUUGUUGCUUAUAGAUAUACAUUAAAUUCCUGUUUGUAUCUUACCUUCCCAACUUUCCAUCUACACUAGUGGCUGUACCCGUUUCCAUUAUCUUAUCUUUCUAUUUUUAUCUUUUAAUUGUUAUAAUUUAAAUUUUCUGAUUAACCAUAUUAAUUUAAUCAUAAUUAAGGUAUUCAUAUAAAAUGUUUUACUUCUAAGCCAAUCGAGUGUUAUAAAUCAAACUGAUGAGAGAAUUUAUUUUACUCAACUCAGAAAUGAUCUUAUUUGUUAAAAGGAACUCAAGGAAUUGAAAAGCUGAUAUUACAAAAUCAUCAGAUCAAAAGUACCAAAAGUAGCAAAAAAACUACCUAAGUUUAUGUGCAUAAAAAUAAAAUAUCAGAGGAAUUAAAAACUAAUGAAGAAAUAUAAAUGAUUUAUUGGUUUAGUUUAUUCAUUAUCUAUUUGUAUCACACCUUAGUUUUAUUAACUUCUGUGUGCUAAUAAUCAGAUUAUUAAAAUUAAAUUCUAUAUAGCAUUAUGUAGGGUUUUGACUUGUUGAAUAAAAUUAAAAUAAUCAUAUAAAAUUUUAAAGGUAUUGAAAAAUGUACAGGUUUUAUUAUUCAUGUGUUAAACUACUUAACUAUACAAGUAAUUGGUAUUUAUCUAAUAUCAUAACCUAUACAUACCCUAUUAUAAAUUAUAUAUGCUAUUAAUGUCAGUUUUUGUUAUAUUAAUUUCAGGAAUUCUGUACAAAUGUCGCAUCAAUUUUAAAUAAAAUUACAAGUGAUAACAUUAUUACUUUAGCUGAACAUUUUAGUGCAUUAACCAAUUGAUAUUGUUGAACUACU